ensembl:Mt_tRNA
UAGGGUGGGGUGUGAUGGUAGCACAAGGGAUUUUGAAUCCCUGAGUACAGGUUCAAUUCCUGUGGCCCUAG